CUCCGUAGGUGAACCUGCGGAAGGAUCAUUAUCGAAAUUACUGGCGAGGGUUGUAGCUGGCCUUUCGAGGCAUGUGCACGCCUGAGCCUUUAAUCCACAUACACCUGUGAACCCAAUGUAAGGGCCCGUAAAAAAGGCCCCUACGUCUUAUCAUCAUCAACCCCAUUGUAUGUCUCAUAGAAUGUAAAUCAAUAUCCUCGCCUAAAAAGCGUUGAUAAAACAUAUACAACUUUCAACAACGGAUCUCUUGGCUCUCGCAUCGAUGAAGAACGCAGCGAAAUGCGAUAAGUAAUGUGAAUUGCAGAUUUUCAGUGAAUCAUCGAAUCUUUGAACGCACCUUGCGCUCCUUGGUACUCCGAGGAGCAUGCCUGUUUGAGUGUCAUUAAAUCAUCAACCCCGAUUGGUUUGUUUUCAAAUCUCCGGGGCUUGGACUUGGAGCGUGCUGGCGAAGGUCGGCUCCUCUGAAAUGCAUCAGCGGAAUUCAAUCUUUGGUUUCCGGAUGUCGGUGUGAUAAUCACGUUGUGCCGUCGUCGACCUCAGAGUCCGCUCAAUAAUGGUCUUCGGACGAUUCAUCAAAUUUGACCUCAAAUSAGGUAGGACUACCCGCUGAACUUAAGCAUAUCAAUAAGCGGAGGAAAAGAAACUAACAAGGAUUCCCCUAGUAACUGCGAGUGAAGCGGGAAAAGCUCAAAUUUAAAAUCUGGCGGUCUCACGGCCGUCCGAGUUGUAAUCUGGAGAAGCGUUUAUCCGCGUCGGAACCGUGUACAAGUSUUCUGGAAGGGAGCGUCAUAGAGGGUGAGAAUCCCGUCUUUGACACGGACCACCGAUGCUUUUGUGAUACGCUCUCGAAGAGUCGAGUUGUUUGGGAAUGCAGCUCAAAAUGGGUGGUAAAUUCCAUCUAAAGCUAAAUAUUGCGAGUCAGAGACCGAUAGCGA
rnacentral:rRNA from 1 species